rnacentral:tRNA from 1 species
UCCGGAGUAGCUCAGUUGGUAGAGCAGACGGCUGUUAACCGUCUUGUCGGGGGUUCGAGUCCCUCCUCCGGAGCCA